UAUAAGACUGUAAGGGUUGUUGGAGACUACGACGUAGAUAGGUGUGGUGUGUAAGCGGUGCGAGCCGUUGAGCUAACACAUACUAAUUGCCCGAGAGGCUUAACUAUACAACGCUCAAG
rnacentral:rRNA from 1 species